CAUGCUUUUUUAAAACUUUAUAUUGAAUAAUUUUUAGAUUUGCAGAAAUGUUACAAAGAUAAUACAGGAUGUUUCUGUAUAUAUAAUUUCUCCUAAUAUUGAUAUGUUACAUAAUGCUAGUAUGUUUAUCCAAACUAAGAAAUUAACAUUGGUACAGUACUGUUAACUACAGACUUUUUUCCAGAUUUCCCCACUUUUCCCACUAAUGUCUUUUUCUGUUCAAGAUUUGGAAAACCAGUUUUGCAUUUAGUUUUUAUGUCUCCUAAGUCUUCUCUAAGCUAUGACAAUUCUCUGUCUUGCCUUGCCACUCAUGGCUUUAACAUUUUUGAAGACUGCUGGUCAGGAGAGAAAUAGAAACAAACAAUAACCAUAUGAAGAUGUCCUGUUAGAAUUACAACACUAAUGAUGUAGACUCUGGAAAUGCCUAAUAAGUCAAAGAAGACAUUAUUAAAGCUUUUUUUCUGCUUAAGGUGACAUCUUUGAACUCUAACACAGAAUUGACUCUUCUUGUAAUGGUUUUCAUCAGCGCAUCUGCCCUUAUACUCUCACCAAACACACUUGAGAACUGUAACUUUGUCAAGCACUUUCUGUCCUGAAGCUUUUACCAGUAUCUGCUGUCUUUUGUAAUUAUGCAUCCUAGCUAAGGCACAGAAGACUGAAUGAAUGCAAGGAUUCAUUAACUCUUUGAAUUUGUUAAGUACUAACAGUUAACCAUUAGAAGUGGUUCAAUGAUGUAAGAGUCACACUGCUUCAACUUUUUCUUUGUUGUAGUUUUUAAAUUGUCAGUUUUUAGCUAUUUGACAGAUUAAAAGCAAAAUAAUCAUGCCAUAUUUAGUCCUGGAGUUCAAGUCUAAAUGUUUAUGUGAAAAAUUAUUGUAGUAAACUUUUAAUAUGGCAAAGCAACCUUAAGCUCUAUUUUAGCCAAAUGAAACAUAAUCUGAAAUUAUAUUAGAACAUUUCCCUUGUCUUCAAACUGUUUGGUGUAACAGAAUAUUGAUAUGCAGCUUGGUGGAUUUCACCAGUUAAUGCACAUUCUUCUCCCCUCCUUCCCCCAAUAAUAUGUAUACUGAAAAAUGUGCAUUUGUCUGAGGAAUUAUUUUGUUUGCUACCACUUAAUGAAUCUCAAAAUUUUGAGUAAAUGUACCUCAGUCUAAUCAGACUUUUUAUGACCUUUAUAACUACAUUUAAAACCCUUAAUUCCUUUUCUGGGUGUUUGCGAGCCUGAUUGCUAUCAUGAAGUAAAAAUUUAUUACUCUAGGUAUUCACUAGCUAAAUAAACAUAGUUCUUGUUUAGCAAGCAUAUACUGUUCCUCAACUCUUUUCUCCAGCUUUUGCAGUGUCCUGGCAUCCUUAAAAUACUUUGAAAAUAUGGCCUUGAUCCAUGGAUAAAUCAGUAUCUAAGUGAAUGUGUUGAUGUUUUAUUGAUCAGAUCUAUAUAAAUGGGAAUACAGCAUAUAUCUGGGUAUUCUUAUAGUUAUCUUUUUAACAUCUUAUUUUUUUUCAUUAAUUACAUAUCAACAUUAAUUUUGUAACUUGAAACAAAUUGAUUUUGUAUAAUUAAAUGUGUCAAGCAUCUGUAUUAAUUGAUUUGAUGGCAUAAGGUUAUGAAGAUAAUGUACUGCCCCUUAUAUUACUGUUCCAAAAGGAGAAAACUAUGUAGAAAGAUACAUUAAGGGUGAAAAUAGCAAUAUAGUAGAUUUGAAUACCUUGAUGUUUUGCAUUACUCCAUUUAUGUUUACAUCAUGUUUAGAAAUGUUUUCAUUUACUAUGGUCUUUGGUCACUUCAAUUCAAAAAUUUAGUGACAGAUAUUUCUUUGAGGCUUUCAUUUAUAUAACUUUUUUGUACAAUGUUUUCUUAAAUGUACAAAUACUGUAUUCAAGUGGAAAAAAAUACAGUAUUUGUAGGUAAUCGUAGCUACUUCACAGUUCUUUGGUAGUCCCAGUGUAGUUAUAUCAGUGUUUACUGAAGGGAACAUCAAAAUGUUAAUGGUAUAUUACACUAUAAAGACUUUCUUAAAGGAAAAUUGCACCUAUUUUACCUUUUUAAGAGUAAGCCAUGAAAUCUUGUAACAUGUCUCUUAACUAUUUAUAGUGAAAAUUGGCAUUUGGGUAUAGUCACCAUAGCAAUGUUCUACAUCCCUAAGAUUAUAUAGGUAGGACAUGUCAAAGAUGACUGUUGUCACUCUGGAGGUCCUAUUAGACAAAACUAUAAAGGGGUGACCUUGUAGGACGGGUCUGAAUCCUCUCUGAGAUUCUCUUUUUCUUGGUGCUUUAUUAGCAACUCUGAAUAUUUUUAUAAAACUAGUUACAUUAUAAGUGGAUUCAAACUUGUUUAAUUUACAGUAGGUUUCUAUGUAAGAAGUGUCACUCACUCAGCAAGCAGGCUGAUUGCAAUAGCAGACUCUGAUGUCAGAUGUAGUUGAGUAGUCUGCUCAUGGUGAGGAGUACAUCCCAGUGCCUUUAACCUGGAUUUCUAAUAUUAAGUGAAAUGGGUGCAGCAUUCCUUUGGGGAAAAAAAAAAAAACAAAAACAACAAAAAACAAAAAAAACUUUUCAAAAUUGGUAAUUUUUUUCUCAUUUAAGUUUUCUUCAGAGCACCUACCUUCUCUUCCUCUUUGGUCUGUCAAUGUAUGGCAAAAGUUUUUUUCUCUAAGUGAAAUUAUUACAGAUUGUCUCAAUAGCACAACUAACUAAAUAUUUCUUAACUGUAGGGACCAAAAGGGAGAGAACCUGGGCUCUACAGCAGGAGACACAUCAUCAAAUGUUGGAAUAAUCACAAAUUAAGACAUUAUUGACCCAGUAAACUUCUUGCUUAAUAUUUUUCCAAGAUCUGGUUUGAAUGUUUCUUAUUAAAGUUAUCUUAUGUGGGUAUUUUAUUUUGAAAGGUAUUAUAGUUUGUAUAUUUAACAGUAAGGGGGAAAAUGUAACCAAAAUUAGUAUUCUUUCUCUAUACGUAUUGGUACUUGAAGAUUCCUUUCAGAAGAAACCCCAGCCUUUUCCUAAUUUCGAUACUUAAUUCCUCAUUUUAACUCAAGUGAUCUUUCUAAUUCAAAAGCUGUGUUCUUUUUGAAUAUCAUGCAUGGGGGUUAAGCUGAUGUUAAAACAGUUUGCAAUAAAAAAAGAAUCAGCUUAAGUCAUUUAAUCAUUUCAAGUGCAUUCUGCAUCCUAUAAAAAUAAGUUUGAAAAAUUUAAGAGAAUUGUGUUUUCAUUAAGUUUUGCAUAUCUUUUGUUAUGCCAUGUAAAUUCCCUUUUUCGUAUGAUUAAAGAAAGGUUAUGAUAAAAUGAUUAGCUCAUUUACAUUCACUUGUAGCAAUUACAUGAGAAUUUGAAUUUUGUCGUGUUUGGGUUUGUUCAUUCCUGUGAAUGAUGGUACAGUUAGGUGAGAUUUUCUGUUAUGGUACCCAAACUCACCAUUUGGUCCUCUUUAAUCUUUGAGGGUUUCAAUAAAAAUUGUUCACUCAUA